GCUGGGGAUACAGCUCAGCUGGUAGAGUGCUGGCCUCGCAGGCUCGAGGCCCUGGGUUCAAUCCCCAGCACCGCA
rnacentral:tRNA from 1 species